rnacentral:rRNA from 1 species
CCUACGGGUGGCAGCAGUGGGGAAUAUUGCACAAUGGGGGAAACCCUGAUGCAGCGACGCCGCGUGAGUGAAGAAGUAAUUCGUUACGUAAAGCUCUAUCAGCAGGGAAGAAAUACUGACCUUACGGUCAGCAGACGGUACCUGAGUAAGAAGCCCCGGCUAACUACGUGCCAGCAGCCGCGGUAAUACGUAGGGGGCAAGCGUUAUCCGGAUUUACUGGGUGUAAAGGGAGCGUAGACGGUGCGCCAAGUAUGGAGUGAAAUGCCGCAGCUUAACUGGGGAACUGCUUUGGAAACUGGCGAACUAGAGUGCGGGAGGAGUAAGCGGAAUUCCUAGUGUAGCGGUGAAAUGCGUAGAUAUUAGGAGGAACACCGGUGGCGAAGGCGGCUUACUGGACCGUAACUGAUGUUGAGGCUCGAAAGCGUGGGGAGCAAACAGGAUUAGAUACCCUUGUAGUC